AUCAUACUCCCUCCGUCCGGAAAUAUUUGUCAUCAAAAUGGAUAAAAGGGGAUGUAUCUAGAUGUAUUUUAGUUCUAGAUACAUGUUUUUCUACCCGUUUUGAUGACAAGUAUUUUCGGACGGAGGGAGUAGAUA
rfam:Triticum aestivum genome assembly, contig: Triticum_aestivum_CS42_TGACv1_scaffold_526379_6DL